AAUUAUUUAGUUUAAUAAAAACACUAUGUUUUCAACAUAGAAAUAAGUUAAGUUUUAAUAAUUU
rnacentral:tRNA from 1 species